ACUGAUGUAUUCAACGAGUAUAUAGCCUUGGCCGUCAGGCCCGGGUAAUCUUGGGAAAUUUCAUCGUGAUGGGGAUAGAUCAUUGCACUUGUUGGUCUUCAAC
rnacentral:rRNA from 16 species